UUUAAUUGAUGAGUAUCUCAAUC
rnacentral:snRNA from 1 species